UACGAAGGGGGCUAGCGUUGUUCGGAAUCACUGGGCGUAAAGGGCGCGUAGGCGGCUUUAUAAGUCGGGGGUGAAAGCCUGUGGCUACAACCCACAGAAUUGCCUUCGAUACUGUAUGGCUUGAGACCGGAAGAGGUAAGUGGAACGUGCGAGUGUAGAGGUGAAAUUCGUAGAUAUUCGCAAGAACACCAGUGGCGAAGGCGGCUUACUGGUCCGGUUCUGACGCUGAGGCGCGAAAGCGUGGGGAGCAAACAGGG
rnacentral:rRNA from 1 species